AUGGACGGAACAGGGCUGGGAGCAGCACUUAUGAAUCACCCCGAGCAGUUGCUCUUUGCCCCAGGGGACCCACUCACACAUUCCCAAGGGAGCCAGUGCCUGGGAGACAUGACAUCAUUGUCACCAGGCAAGGAGUUUCAUCCACGUGUGGCCUGGGAGCUCAUUCCCAGGGGUUACACCCAAGCUUCUCAGGAUGAGACAGCCAAAUCAAAGAUAAUGGGUAAAACCAGAGGUUUCUGCUGACAUGGAACAUGGACAAGAGAAUGGCCAAGAUGGAGGCUGACCAAGGGCUGUUCCUGCUCACCCAUGCUACUCACCAGAAGCUCUGUGGAAAAGUGGAAACUAUGUCCCUGGUCUUCCUUUCAGGACUUGGCUGAGAUCAGGCUACUUCUUGAGAGGCCUGGAUUCAACUGAGGAAUAUCAUUUUGGAAAAUAUAGAAACUUCUAGACU
rnacentral:lncRNA from 1 species